rnacentral:rRNA from 1 species
GACGAACGCUGUCGGCGUGCUUAACACAUGCAAGUCGAACGAUGAAGCUAGAGCUUGCUCUGGUGGAUUAGUGGCGAACGGGUGAGUAACACGUGAGUAACCUGCCCCGAACUCUGGGAUAACUGCUGGAAACGGUAGCUAAUAUCGGAUAUGACCAAUGAAGGCAUCUUCUGUUGGUGGAAAGAAUUUCGGUUCGGGAUGGACUCGCGGACUAUCAGCUUGUUGGUGAGGUAAAGGCUCACCAAUGCGACGACGGGUAGCCGGCCUGAGAGGGUGAUCGGCCACACUGGGACUGAGAAACGGCCCAGACUCCAACGGGAUGCCGCAGUGGGGAAUAUUGCACAAUGGGCGCAAGCCUGAUGCAGCAACGCCGCGUGAGGGACGACGGCCUUCGGGUUGUAGACCUCUUAUAGUAGGGAAGAAGCGAAAGUGACGGUACCUGCAGAAAAAGCACCGGCUAACUACGUGCCAGCAGCCGCAGUAA